UAUGCCUACGGGGGGCAGCAGGGAAGAACGGUCACUGUGCUAAUCAGCAGUGAAUUGACGGUACCUGCAAAGGAAGCACCGGCUAACUCCGUGCCAGCAGCCGCGGUAAUACGGAGGGUGCGAGCGUUAAUCGGAAUUACUGGGCGUAAAGCGCUCGUAGGCGGUAUGUCAAGUCAAGGGUGAAAUCCCCGCGCUCAACGUGGGAACUGCCUUUGAAACUGGCAAACUGGAGUGUGUGAGAGGAUAGUGGAAUUCCAGGUGUAGGAGUGAAAUCCGUAGAUAUCUGGAGGAACAUCAGUGGCGAA
rnacentral:rRNA from 1 species